rnacentral:rRNA from 1 species
AGAGUUUGAUCAUGGCUCAGGACGAACGCUGGCGGCGUGCCUAAAACAUGCAAGUCGAACGGUCCUAGCAAUAGGAUAGUGGCGAACGGCGGAGUAAUACAUAAACAACGUGCCCUGAAGACCGGGAUAGUUACUGGAAACGGUGGGUAAUACCGGAUGUGGCUCUCAGAACUCAUGUGCUGAGAAUUAAAUGGUUUUUCGCUUCAGGAGCGGUUUGUGGCCUAUCAGCUAGUUGGUGGGGUAAUGGCCUACCAAGGCGACGACGGGUAGGGGGUCUGAGAGGAUGAUCCCCCCGAGUGGGACUGAGACACGGCCCACACACCUACGGGUGGCAGCAGUUGGGAAUCUUGCACAAUGGGGGAAACCCUGAUGCAGCGACGCCGCGUGGAGGAUGAAGGAUUUAGGUCUGUAAACUCCUUUUAUCGGGAAAGACUUAGGACGGUACCCGAUGAAUAAGCACCGGCUAACUACGUGCCAGCAGCCGCGGUAAGACGUAGGGUGCAAGCGUUGUCCGGAUUUACUGGGCGUAAAGAGCGCGUAGGCGGUCUGUUAAGUGUGAAGUGAAAUCUCCAGGGCUCAACCCGGAAACUGCUUCGCAUACUGGCAGACUAGAGGGAUGCAGAGGUGAAUAGAAUUCCUGGUGUAGCGGUGACAUGCAUUGAUAUCAGGAGGAAUACCCAUGGCGAAGGCAGUUCACUGGGCAUCAUCUGACGCUGAGGCGCGAAAGCGUGGGGAGCAAACAGGAUUAGAUACCCUGGUAGUCCACGCCGUAAA